GACGAACGCUGGCGGCGUGCUUAACACAUGCAAGUCGAACGAAGUGGCGAACGGGUGAGUAAUACGUGGGUAACCUGCCCUCCUUUUUGGGAUAAGCCUUGGAAACGGGGUCUAAUACCGAAUAAAGGGGGAUGGGCUCGCGGCCUAUCAGCUUGGUGGUGGGUUGAUGCCCUACCAAGGCGGUGACGGGCAGCCGGCCUGAGAGGGUGACCGGCGACAUUGGUACUGAGAUACGGCCCAGACGCCGACGGGAGGCAGCAGUGGGUGAUAAUGCACAAUGGGCGAAAGCCUUAUGCAGCGACGCCGCGUGGGGGAUUAAGGCUUUCGGGUUGUAAACCUCUUUCGCUCUCGAACGGGUAGGUGGAGAAGAAGCGCCGGCUAACUACGUGCCAGCAGCCGCGGUAAUUC
rnacentral:rRNA from 1 species